rnacentral:lncRNA from 1 species
AUGCACAGGCAGGAAGAAAGCAUUGCAGACAUCAAAGAUUUAAAGCCCUUUAAAAAGGGAGACAAUGCAAGGGAAGUGUGGAAGGCCGUAACUCGCCCGCGCCAGGCAAGGCAUCUUUCACGGAGAGAGACUGCACACUGCCUCCCACCACCUCAUUUUUCCUUUGCUCACAAGCAGACAACACACACUUUUUCUUUUCUGGAAACUCCCAUGCACAGUCCAGAGUGGAGCUGUAAUGGCUGCUUGGUGACAUCGCUGCCGGCUCCUACAGCCCCUGCUGGAGCUGCCAGUGGCUGCGCCCCAUCUGCUCAGCACCAGUGCAGGGUUCUGCUGCACAGAGAGGUGCCACCGAAGCACGGCCCAUGCCCUGCCCCAACCAAGGGGAGCAGGAAGAGCCAGCUCUCUCUGCUGUUGAGAGAUGAGUCUGUGAAAGAGCGAGGGGCUGGCAGAAAGGCCUCCUCCUGCUGCUGCACCACAGAAAAUGGACAAGAAGGAAUUCACAGAGGCCAAACUAGCUUGAAGCACCCAGCAGGCACACCUUGUGCAGCUCAGCACUGUCUAGUUUGGUCUGAAUAAUCACCUGACGGGAAAAGGUGUCAUGUUUCCUGUGAACCGUGGUUAAGAGGGGAGAGUGGCGUGGUUUCUCAGAGUGUGGGUGGGACCCAUGCCAGCCUCAGCAGGAGUCUGUGCCCAGCCUCAGCCCAGCUGAGCCAGGCUUCCCAUGCACUGGACCACCCUGUGCUCAGGGCAAGCCCCUGCAUACAAGGUGCACACUGAGUCUGGCUUACAGUAGGUGCUCAAUAAAUGUUAAAUUGCAGUCCCUGUGUACUACAGGAGGUCUUCACUUUAAAACUGAACUGAAACAGACUGCAGCAUGGUCCGUGAGGGGAAGGAGGAAGGCGGCAGCUUCUUAGCCUGAGCUUCUGCUGAUACGAAUUAUGCAAGCUUUUCGCUGCUGACCUCCAGGCUCACAUGCACUGAUCUCCUAUCCUAUUUCACUUACGGUGAGGCAUGCAGGCAGCACUCCUCGCCAGCCACUGCCCAGCACCUCACAUGGGGGCCUCCUCCCACAGACUCCACCCCACUGGGAAGUCCCGCUGACGGCCUUCAGGAACUGGCAUGUCCUCUCUUCUCUUCUCCCCCAAAUCCCUCCCUGAGGUUUAGGCUUCCUUCCCUCUGUACCCUCCUCAGAGGUGGGUGCUCCCCAUGAUUUUCACACGGUCCCUCCAGGAACCAUCCUGGCAGGUGGGGCCCUCCUCACUGACAAUGCUUCUUCAGCCCCCAGGGCAGGUGCCGGAUGAAAACUCAGGACGUGACUGCUCCCUGCCUUUCUGUGCCAUUCCCAGACUGCCCUUCCCCCAGCCGGGCAGUCUGCCUCUUGUCCUCUGGGGGCCCUCAAGCCUCUGCACACCCCCAGCCCUGCUGAAUAAGGAGAGGAGAUGGAAGGUGCUGUGGGAGCUGAGCAUGUUCCUCCCUGGAUUACACAGAGCUGCAGCCUUGGCCCAUGGUUGGAAUGUUUACAUUUAUCAUAACAAACACAGACGGGUUGAGUCACCUGUCAUACUUAGGAAGGUAAGUUCAUUCAUAGUCCGAAGAUCUGCAAAGAGGAAAAACUCCAUCCCCUCUCACCGUAGGUCCUAGUAUGGCUCUGACACCCACCCUGCUGUGAAGCCCCAUGGGGACCGCACGGCUACUCACCCAUGGAACAUGCCCACUCUUCUUUGCACUCUGCUGACACAAGGGCUCUGCUCAACAGUGGCCCUCUCUCUUGGCCAGACCUCAGAUCCCUGUGUUCUUCUUGCUCAGAACCAUCCCUCUCCUUACAAGCAAAGCAACACGAAACAAAAGACAGGACAAGACUACUGUUCACUUUGGGCAAUGUCCCUCAGCACUAACCAUCCUCAAUCUUAGCUCAGGUUGCUAAUGCAUGGCAGCUUAGACCGUGUGGCUUAUAAAUAACAGAAGUUUAUUUCUCACAGUGCUGGAGGCCAGAAGUCUGGGAUCGGGGUGCCACAUAGUCAGGUCUGGUGAGGAGCCUCUUCCGGUGGCACACCCUGUCUUGCCCUUGCAGCCUCACGAGCAGGNNNNNNNNNNNNNNNNNNNNNNNNNNNNNNNNNNNNNNNNNNNNNNNNNNNNNNNNNNNNNNNNNNNNNNNNNNNNNNNNNNNNNNNNNNNNNNNNNNNNNNNNNNNNNNNNNNNNNNNAGGAAUGUGAGCUCGCUCUCUGGUCUCCCUGAUGCGGACACUAAUCCCAGUCACAAAGAUUCCAUCCUCAUGACCUAAUCGCCUCCCAAAGCCUCACCUCCUAAUGCUACCCUCACAAUGGGGUUGGAUUUCAACACAAAUUUGGGAAGAGACACAAACAUUCAGCCCACAGUGGUCUCCUCCAUGGCCUUCUCUCUGUGAAUUGCUGAAACGGACUCCAUUGAGUAAGGAAUGAGGUUAUUCUGAGCCAUGCCUGCAUUAAUUUAUGUAACAUGACUAUGUGUUUGUCUAGCUGGACCAAGGGACAAGCUCCCCUAAGAAAGAGGUGGGUGCUACUUACCGGGACUCCUGAUGCUGACUGAGCAUGCCCACAGGCCACAGUUUCUGUUUGCUGGAUGGAAGCAGACCAAAGUGGAAAUGGUGUCUGCAGAAUUCUACAUGCACAGUAAGGGGUUAAGAAAUUGCAUUGUUUCUAUUAUGACAGGACCUAGGAUUUUACUGAGGGCUUAGCAUGUGCCAGGCACAGGGCCAACUGCUUCAUUUCCCUAUCCAUACAAGAGCCCCACAGGGUGCAGUCUAUUAUUUUAACAUUUUACAGAAGAGGAAACAGAAGUUCAAAGAGAAGCAUCGCAUCCAAGGCCAUGUGUUACUAAGUGACAGAUGUAAGGUUCGAGUCCAGGCAAUCUGGCUCCCUUUGGCCACUUGCUACCCUACUCACUGUGCCAAGGGCUGCUCCACAUGGCCUGGAAUGGUGUCUGGGAGACGCCCCUUGUGCUGUCCACCUGGCAAGGCAGCCCCAGCCAGCCUAGGGCCACAACGAAGGUGGCCCAGCCCCACAGGUGGGAUUCCUGACAUGUGACCCCACAGUCAUG